CAGCAGCCGCGGGAAUACGUAGGUGGCAAGCGUUGUCCGGAAUUAUUGGGCGUAAAGGGCUCGCAGGCGGUUUCUUAAGUCUGACGUGAAAGCCCCCGGCUCAACCGGGGAGGGUCAUUGGAAACUGGGAAACUUGAGUGCAGAAGAGGAGAGUGGAAUUCCACGUGUAGCGGUGAAAUGCGUAGAGAUGUGGAGGAACACCAGUGGCGAAGGCGACUCUCUGGUCUGUAACUGACGCUGAGGAGCGAAAGCGUGGGGAGCGAACAGGAUUAGAUACCCCGGUAGUCCCUGUCUCUUAUAC
rnacentral:rRNA from 1 species